CAAACGGUGCUGUGGAAAGGAUUAGGAGCUUUAAAAGCUAUGGAAGAAGAGCACUCACAAUCAUGCUUGGAUAUAAGAAUCCUGAAAGGUGGGAUAAAAGGAGAAUUGUCUCAAUGGACAUCUCAUUAAGGUCUUUUGAUUAAAUUUUGCGUAGACAAAUUUGCAAAUAAUCAGCCCCUCAAGUCUCAAGUUUGUUUCACUAGGCCGCAAUGUGUAUUUUUCGUUUCAGGU
rnacentral:misc_RNA from 1 species